UUACUUGACUAACAUGAUAAAUCAUAUUUUGGUUAGAUCACUUAAUGAUUGAAGUUGACCCACGCUAACUAAGAAAUUAGUAUGACUAAUUUAGGUGCCCCUAGUUCAACUUGUCUUGAGUCCUCUUCAUGACUUGAUAAAAUCAAUGAGAGGAUUUAUUACUAGUUGGCUGGAUCAGCUUUUGUCUAACUUUUUUAAUCUG
rnacentral:lncRNA from 1 species